rnacentral:rRNA from 1 species
GACGAACGCUGGCGGCGUGCUUAACACAUGCGAGUCGAACGGAAAGGCCCUGCUUUUGUGGGGUGCUCGAGUGGCGAACGGGUGAGUAACACGUGAGUAACCUGCCCUUGACUUUGGGAUAACUUCAGGAAACUGGGGCUAAUACCGGAUAGGAGCUCCUGCUGCAUGGUGGGGGUUGGAAAGUUUCGGCGGUUGGGGAUGGACUCGCGGCUUAUCAGCUUGUUGGUGGGGUAGUGGCUUACCAAGGCUUUGACGGGUAGCCGGCCUGAGAGGGUGACCGGCCACAUUGGGACUGAGAUACGGCCCAGACUCCUACGGGAGGCAGCAGUGGGGAAUAUUGCACAAUGGGCGGAAGCCUGAUGUAGCAACGCCGCGUGCGGGAUGACGGCCUUCGGGUUGUAAACCGCUUUCGCCUGUGACGAAGCGUGAGUGACAGUAAUGGGUAAAGAAGCACCGGCUAACUACGUG